CCCAGACUCCUACGGGAGGCAGCAGUGAGGAAUAUUGGUCAAUGGGCGCGAGCCUGAACCAGCCAAGUCGCGUGAGGGAUGACGGUCCUACGGAUUGUAAACCUCUUUUGCCGGGGAGCAAGCGUGCGUUCGUGGACGCGCGUCGAGAGUACCCGGAGAAAAAGCAUCGGCUAACUCCGUGCCAGCAGCCGCGGUAAUACGGAGGAUGCGAGCGUUAUCCGGAUUUAUUGGGUUUAAAGGGUGCGUAGGCGGAAGGUUAAGUCAGCGGUCAAAUGUCGGUGCUCAACACCGGCCUGCCGUUGAAACUGGUCUUCUUGAGUGAGCGAGAAGUAUGCGGAAUGCGUGGUGUAGCGGUGAAAUGCAUAGACAUCACGCAGAACUCCGAUUGCGAAGGCAGCAUACCGGCGCUCAACUGACGCUGAGGCACGAAAGCGUGGGGAUCGAACAGGAUUAGAUACCCGUGUAUA
rnacentral:rRNA from 1 species